GUCAGCCAGUCAUUCAGUUCACCUGGACCAACUAUGAAGUCUCUUCUCUGUUUCCUGCUGCUUAAAUACAUAGCGGGCAUGGACGUCCAGCAGCAUCCUCCCAGCCAGGUUCUGUCUCCUCUCUCCCCCGUGAAGGUCUCCUGCUCGGUCUCUGGCACCAGCGACCCCUACCUCUAUUGGUACUGCUGGACCAGGGCAGACGGUAUGAGGCUGGUCUUCACCUCGGUCACUGCUGGGUUUGUAGAGCCAGCCAGUAAGGACGGGUUUAGCGCCGUGCAGCCCGACAGCCAGACGAUGGUUCUGCAGUCGUCCGGUGUGGCCCAGACAGAGCCCAGCAUGUGGUUCUGUGCAGCCAGUACCCACAGCAUAGCAGAGCAGGCUGGGAGCCAUACAAAAACCCCAGUGUCAUUACAGUCAUGUACUGUACAGCUCUGUCUUCUGGACAGAACAUGAAAGCCCCACACCUUCCUCCCACAAA